ACGGGUGAGUAACACGUGGGAACGUACCCUUUGGUUCGGAAUAACGCUGGGAAACUAGCGCUAAUACCGGAUACGCCCAUGGCCUUUGGCUCUGGGGAAAGGCUUGCUGCCGAAGGAUCGGCCCGCGUCUGAUUAGCUAGUUGGUGGGGUAAUGGCCUACCAAGGCGACGAUCAGUAGCUGGUCUGAGAGGAUGAUCAGCCACACUGGGACUGAGACACGGCCCAGACUCCUACGGGAGGCAGCAGUGGGGAAUAUUGGACAAUGGGCGCAAGCCUGAUCCAGCCAUGCCGCGUGAGUGAUGAAGGCCUUAGGGUUGUAAAGCUCUUUUGUCCGGGACGAUAAUGACGGUACCGGAAGAAUAAGCCCCGGCUAACUUCGUGCCAGCAGCCGCGGUAAUACGAAGGGGGCUAGCGUUGCUCGGAAUCACUGGGCGUAAAGGGCGCGUAGGCGGCCAUUCAAGUCGGGGGUGAAAGCCUGUGGCUCAACCACAGAAUUGCCUUCGAUACUGUUUGGCUUGAGUAUGGCAGAGGUUAGUGGAACUGCGAGUGUAGAGGUGAAAUUCGUAGA
rnacentral:rRNA from 1 species